rnacentral:rRNA from 1 species
CCUACGGGUGGCUGCAGUGGGGAAUAUUGGACAAUGGGCGAAAGCCUGAUCCAGCCAUGCCGCGUGUGUGAAGAAGGCCUUCGGGUUGUAAAGCACUUUCAGUGGGGAAGAAAGCCUUGGGGCUAAUACCCUCGAGGAAGGACAUCACCCACAGAAGAAGCACCGGCUAACUCCGUGCCAGCAGCCGCGGUAAUACGGAGGGUGCGAGCGUUAAUCGGAAUUACUGGGCGUAAAGCGCGCGUAGGCGGUCUGAUAAGCCGGUUGUGAAAGCCCCGGGCUCAACCUGGGAACGGCAUCCGGAACUGUCAGGCUAGAGUGCAGGAGAGGAAGGUAGAAUUCCCGGUGUAGCGGUGAAAUGCGUAGAGAUCGGGAGGAAUACCAGUGGCGAAGGCGGCCUUCUGGACUGACACUGACGCUGAGGUGCGAAAGCGUGGGUAGCAAACAGGAUUAGAUACCCCGGUAGUC